rnacentral:rRNA from 1 species
UACGGGGGGGGCAAGCGUUGUUCGGAAUUACUGGGCGUAAAGGGCUCGUAGGCGGCCAACUAAGUCAGACGUGAAAUCCCUCGGCUUAACCGGGGAACUGCGUCUGAUACUGGAUGGCUUGAGUGUGGGAGAGGGAUGCGGAAUUCCAGGUGUAGCGGUGAAAUGCGUAGAUAUCGAGAGGAACACCUGCGGCGAAGGCGGGUUGCUGGGCCGACACUGACGCUCAUGCACGAAAGCGUGGGGAGCAAACAGG